GCGAGAUUAGUUUAGUGGCAGAACGAUUGCUUCCCAAGCAAUAGACACGAGUUCGAUUCUCGUAUCUCGCACCA
rnacentral:tRNA from 1 species